rnacentral:rRNA from 1 species
GAUGAACGCUGGCGGCGUGCCUAACACAUGCAAGUCGAACGGACAUUUUUUGGAAAGCUCUUCGGAACUGGAAUCUAAAUGUUAGUGGCGGACGGGUGAGUAACACGUAAGCAACCUGCCUAUCAGAGGGGAACAACAGUUGGAAAUGACUGCUAAUACCGCAUAUGCCUAAGUACCACAUGGUACAAUAGGGAAAGGAGCAAUCCGCUGAUAGAUGGGCUUGCGUCUGAUUAGCUAGUUGGUGGGGUAAAGGCCUACCAAGGCGACGAUCAGUAGCCGGACUGAGAGGUUGAACGGCCACAUUGGGACUGAGAUACGGCCCAG